ensembl:lncRNA
AAGAUGUAAAAAAAAACAGCAGCCAAAGAUUUUUUUUUUUUUUUUUUUUAAACAGCGUUCUGUGCUGCUCCUUUCAUUUGCUCAUUUUUGCUUUUAUUUUUUCUUCCCCAAACCAAUGACACCCCCCUCACUGUCUCUCCCCGCUGUGCGUGUGGGACAUGGACCAACUUUUAAAAAUGAUUUUAACUUGAGAGAAAGUGAAAUUCAUGUGGCAAACGGAGGGCUUUCAUGUUCCUCUUGUGCCUUUUUUUUUUUUUUUCUUCUUGAAAAGAGUCGAAGCCUUUUUCCUCUGCACUAUCCCAGUGGAUUAAGGCACGCAGAGAACGCGGUUAUAAAGCGCUACAGUUUGACCAUUAAAAGAGAAUGUCAAUGUAGCGCCCUUCAGUGAAAGUACGCAGCUCUAACAAAAAUGCUUUUGGGAGCUCGGAGGGAAAUGGGAUCCGUGCACCCAGGGCUGGGGGGCUUCUACGUCCUUAGGUCCUUUUAAAUUUACAUUUAAAUUAUUAUUAUUAUUUUUAUUUUCAGCGUUGGGACAUAUUUCUUUUAAAACACAGUAAUUCGGGAAAAUUAUAUUAGCCAAUUUCCAUUUCUCAUGCAUCACUUUCACGGCAGAGGCUGUUCCUAGGACAAAUGUGAGUGGUGAGGCGAUGCUGUGUGUGCUGGGCUUUUUUUAUUGUUGCUUUUUUUUUUCCUUUCUUUCUUUCUUUCCCCCUUUUUUUUUUUUUUUUCUUUUUUCUUUUUAGAUCGGCCCCAAAGUCCAAAGAGAAAUGAGGUGUCCGGUAUGGAAGUGCAUCUCAGUCAACAGCCAGCUCCUUUGGCCGGGGCUGGAAAUGGUUUUAACAGGCGGUAAAAUUUCAUCUUGUGGUGUCAAAUUGGGGUCAGUUUGGGGUUAGCGCUCUCAGUGUCCGAGAAGGAGCUGUCCAGCUGUGUGGGGAUUCAUUAAGGGCAAAAGAUCCGUUUCAAGAAAAACAAUACAAAGACAAUCAGAGAGCUAAAGAUCCUCUUCAAAUCGCAUUUUACAAGUGCACCAGAACAAAUAUGGACGCUGAAACCUAUUCCCUUCAAACUCCCAAAUCGGCUUCUUAGCCCUCGGAGGGAGGGAAAAUCCGCUGCAGCCCGGCCGGGUCUGCUUCCAAUCACCGCCCCGAGGUGCGCCGGGCCCCGCGCCGCCCUCGCCCGCUCCCCUCUCCCUUUCGGCACAGCGCUGCGGAGCGAUGGCACCACAACAGGGAGAUGUACGGUUGAAGAGCCGCUGGAGCGAGCCCGAGUUCCCGGGGGAGAAGGAAGGUUGGCCCGUGGAGAGGCAGCCAGCAGGAGAUGGUUGCCGCAGUGUGUGGCAAGUGCUUCUUCGAGAAAUCCAUCAGCCUUUCUACGGUGACUCCGAGGGAAGAGUGCUGCCAGCACUUUCGCGCAUUCCCAGGUGUUGCGAGGAGGAGAGAAGCAAAGGGCCAGAGCGCUCCAUGGGGGGUGGAAGGGGGGAGGGUGAAGGGGCACCUGGGGAGGGGAAUCCGCCCAGUGCGUGUGGGACCGCGUGCCGGUCAGGGCCGGGGAACGCGCCCCUUCUGCCAUAAUUAGUCGGAACAAUAAACGUAAUUGGAAUAAAAUCGGUUGGAAAUUC